rnacentral:rRNA from 1 species
CUGACGCAGCAACGCCGCGUGGGUGAUGAAGGUCUUCGGAUUGUAAAGCCCUGUUUUCUGGGACGAUAAUGACGGUACUAGAGGAGGAAGCCACGGCUAACUACGUGCCAGCAGCCGCGGUAAUACGUAGGUGGCGAGCGUUGUCCGGAUUUACUGGGCGUAAAGGGUGCGUAGGCGGAUGUUUAAGUGGGAUGUGAAAUCCCCGGGCUUAACCUGGGGGCUGCAUUCCAAACUGGAUAUCUAGAGUGCAGGAGAGGAAAGCGGAAUUCCUAGUGUAGCGGUGAAAUGCGUAGAGAUUAGGAAGAACACCAGUGGCGAAGGCGGCUUUCUGGACUGUAACUGACGCUGAGGCACGAAAGCGUGGGUAGCAAACAGGAUUAGAUACCCUGGUAGUCCACGCCGUAAACGAUGGAUACUAGGUGUAGGGGGUAUCAACUCCCCCUGUGCCGCAGUUAACACAAUAAGUAUCCCGCCUGGGGAGUACGGUCGCAAGAUUAAAACUCAAAGGAAUUGACGGGGGCCCGCACAAGCAGCGGAGCAUGUGGUUUAAUUCGAAGCAACGCGAAGAACCUUACCUGGACUUGACAUCCCUUGCAUAGCCUAGAGAUAGGUGAAGCCCUUCGGGGCAAGGAGACAGGUGGUGCAUGGUUGUCGUCAG